rnacentral:rRNA from 1 species
GACGAACGCUGGCGGCGUGCCUAAUACAUGCCAGUAGAACGCACAGUUUAUACCGUAGCUUGCUACACCAUAAACUGUGAGUUGCGAACGGGUGAGUAACGCGUAGGUAACCUGCCUGGUAGCGGGGGAUAACUAUUGGAAACGAUAGCUAAUACCGCAUAAUAUUGAUUAUUGCAUGAUAAUUGAUUGAAAGAUGCUAUUGCAUCACUACCAGAUGGACCUGCGUUGUAUUAGCUAGUAGGUGAGGUAACGGCUCACCUAGGCGACGAUACAUAGCCGACCUGAGAGGGUGAUCGGCCACACUGGGACUGAGACACGGCCCAGACUCCUACGGGAGGCAGCAGUAGGGAAUCUUCGGCAAUGGACGAAAGUCUGACCGAGCAACGCCGCGUGAGUGAAGAAGGUUUUCGGAUCGUAAAGCUCUGUUGUAAGAGAAGAACGGGUGUGAGAGUGGAAAGUUCACACUGUGACGGCAUCUUACCAGAAAGGGACGGCUAACUACGUG